rnacentral:rRNA from 1 species
UACGUAGGGACCGAGCGUUGUCCGGAUUCAUUGGGCGUAAAGAGCUCGUAGGCGGCUGCUCAAGUCGAAUGUGAAAACUCGAGGCUCAACCUCGAGCCUGCAUUCGAUACUGGGCGGCUAGAGUCUGGUAGGGGGAUCUGGAAUUCCUGGUGUAGCGGUGGAAUGCGCAGAUAUCAGGAGGAACACCGGUGGCGAAGGCGGGAUCCUGGGCCAGUACUGACGCUGAGGAGCGAAAGCCAGGGGAGCGAACGGG